AUUCCUUUCUUCUUCCUCCUUAAGGUCUAAACGUUUAUUGAACGGAGGCUCAAAACCGAGUUACUGAACUAGGCUUUCAGUAGUAGACACGUGUCAUGUUUAAGAUUUAUUUUAUUCAUUUCCAUCCAUUGUGCCAAAGGACCUGCUCCAGGAAAAUGCUCCCCUGUUGAUAGGUGCGGGAGAGUAAAAGGGAGACGAUGAAGCUAAAUUAAAACUGAAGUCCUUUGUGCUCAGGGAAUAUGACCUUAGAGUGGGAGAGGGGCGGGGAGUGAGUAGAAAAGUCGGCGAAGCAAAAAUAAGGAAGGUUGGGGCCCUGUAACCUAGCAUCCUGAAAUAUCAGCGUAGGUAAGGUAGCAGGCAAGGCACGAAUGCACUCAAAGCCCAGGUGUACUUCCCUCAUCAAAUGCUGGCUCCCGAAGGGUACUGAGGGGAGGGGUCACGCGGGGGGAGGGGGGGUGUCCCUGGAUGGUUUUUUCCUCUUUAGGGACCUGCUUGCCGGAUGAUUCCGUCUCCCACUUGCUUCUCUUCGGCUCCUUCUUUCCCAUCUGCCAGGGGAGCUUAAAGACAUCUCUGCCGCCCAGUUACAAAAAGUGGCAACUUCCCCUCCGGCCCGCAGACUGAUCGCUCAUUUGAAUGCGUUUCCUUUUCAUUAAGAACAAAGGUUGGAGUCCGAGCCUCGCGGCGCGGCGGCCGGAAAGUACAAGAUGUGUGUCGAGAGCAAACACACACACACACACACACACACACACACACAGAAUGACCCACGAGAAAGGGAAAGGGGAAAACACCAAUCCUGCGCUGGGCUUUUUCGACUUUUCCUUUAAAAAGAAAAAAGUUUUUCAAGCUGUAGGUUCCAAGAACCGGCAGGAGGGGGGCGAGGCGGGGUGGGGGGGUGUACAGAAAAGGCGCCUGGUCGGUUAUGAGUCACAAGUGGGUUAUAAAAGGGUCGCACGUUCGCAGGCGCGGGCUUCCUGUGCGCGGCUGAGCCGGGGCGCAGCGCGACGGUCCCAUCGGGCGGCCUCCACCCUCGGGACGCGAGCGGAGCGCCGAGCCCAGCGGCGAUCACGCGACGCGGGGAAGGAAGGAAGGUGGUGCAAACCAGGAAGGGGAAAUCUGUGGUUUACGUUCUCUGUGCCUCAUCCCUCUCGGAGAGCUGGAGGCUUGCUGGAGGCUAUAUGCUGUUAAUGCUAAUUGUGAUAGGGGUUUUUACCUCCGUCUGACUCCUACAUGUUAGCAUUAACAGGGUAUGAUGCCUGUUACUAGCAUUCACAUGGAACAAACUGCUGCUGUGGGAGGAUGACAAAGAAGUGUGAGUCACCCUGCUGGAUAAACUCAGACUUUAAGCUUUAUUAUUUUUUGUUAAUCAUAAUCUGGUCACUGGGAUGUUCCACCUGAUAGUAAGUCUUUAAGAAUAAGGUCUUGUAAAAGAUUUAUCAACGGUAUCCUGAAAGCAAACUUUUUUACUUUAAUCCUUAAGCCCACAUUUUUUUUAAAAAAAUCUUUAAUGGAAAAUGUAUUCCUGUCCUUUUUAAUUCACAGUUAUGGUUUGUUCAUUAUAACUGUUUAUAAACACUUUGAAUAAUUUAACUAGAAAGAAAUAUAAACACAUUCUGAGUAUCUUUGCAGUUAAAAAUUAGGACUACUAUCCACUAAUUAAUCAUGGAUUGUUGGGAAAUAUGUUCAAAAAGAUUUAGAAAUUGGUAUUUCCCCCAUGUAACAAUUCUAUUUAGACAACUUCAGUUUCAAAUGGAUACUUUUAUAUGAAUCUUAAAGUAGACUUGAAAGGCUAUGGCAAUUAGUUUUUAAAAAAUGAAAGAUUUCAUUCUUUUUUAUGGCUGAGUAGUAUUCCAUUGCAUAUAUAUACCACAUAUCCUUAAUCCACCCAUUCGUCUGUCGCUGGACAUUUAGGCUGUUUCCAUUUGCAGCAACAUGGAUGCAAAUAGAGAUUCUCAUACUAAAUGAAGUUAAGUCAGAAAGAUAAAGACAAAUUCCAUAUGAUAUCAGUUAUAUGUGGACUCAAAAAUAUGGCACAAAUGAACCUAUCUACAAAACAGAAACAGACCCACAGACAUAGAGAAUAGACUUGUGGUUGCCAAGGGGGAGGGAAGAGGGAGUGGGAUGGAUGGGCAGUUUGGGGUUAGUAGAUACAGACUAUUACAUUUAGAUUAGAUGGGCAAUGAGGUCCUACUAUUCAGCACGGGGAACUAUAUCCAGUCUCUUGGGAUAGACCAUGAUGGAAGAUAAUAUAAGACAAGGAAUGAAUAUAUACAUAUGACUGGGUCACCUUGCUGCAAUAGCAGAACUUGCCACAACGUUGUACAUCAACUAUACGUUAAUAAAAAAAUCAAAAAGAUUUUUUAAACUUAGUAC
rnacentral:lncRNA from 1 species